AAAUAUCCAAUCUAAACCUCUCCUGGUGCAACUUGAGUCUGAUUCCUCUCAUCCUAACUAUUAUUACCUGUGAGAAGAGACCAAUCCCACUUCGCUACAGCCUCCUUUCAGGCAGUUGUAUAUAGCCAUGAAUAUUCCCAUUAGCCUCCUUCUUUCCAGGGUAAACAACCCCAGCCCACUCAGCUGCUUCUCAUAAAAUUCAUGCUCCAGACCCUUCACCAGCUUUGUUACUCUUUGGAUGCUCUUCGGCACCUCUUGUAUGUUAUUUCUAACUCAUUAAAUUUUAGGUCAAGGAAAGGAUUGCAGAUCACAUGUUUGGCCUUUUUAUCUUAUGGUGACAGUUUCGUACUUUCAGUUUUUUUGGAAAGAGCAUUUUGACAGUUUCCUGUCUUGGGAAUGUUGCUUUACACCAUUUAUAAUCUGUGUCUUUAAAUAUUUUUAGAAACAGGUCAACAGAUUUGUGAUGCUUCUCCAGAAAAAUUAUAGAUAGAUGAUGUGUGUUGUGUGAAACCCAAAGAAAAUAGGAUGACUGUGGAAACCUUUUGGCAAUAUCCAGCCUGGAAACUUGUGCUUUAAUGUGAAGGUUUAUAAUUGUUCCAUAAAGAAAAGUAAGCUCUUUGUCGUCAUAAACACAUUAAGAAAAGCAUGCCUGGGAUCAAGGUAAUUUCAGAUAAAUUACACUGCUUGGAGUCUGUUCACGCCUCUGCUGGAAAAUAUAUAGGUGUCAUCUGUCAAGUACUGUGUUUCUUUUAUAUUAAACACAUCUAGGCCUGCUGGGUGGUAAGUGGGAGGCUUAGAGUGGACAGGGUGAGAUUUAUUAGUUCUUUUACUCUAAUGGUUGUUGCUGUGUUUCAUUCAACAUUCUUGAAUUUUCCAAAGACUUCGCGUUUUAGUGGAAGAUGGUGGAUUUUCUACAGCUCUAGAAAAUCAGGCCUUCAGUCUCAAGCUAGCACUUUCUGAAUUCUAGUUUUAAUGUUUUAAGGUAGAAAUUAGUAAAAAUUUGUUCUAUUACUGGCCAUUAAAAUGCAGCAACAAAGCAUUUGCGAACUGCCUUUCUACUGUUAAUAUCCCCCAAUUGAGAUUUUUUUCUUUUUUUUUCUUUCUUUUUGUAGUGCUGUCUUCCAGUUACAGGUUUCAAGAGUUAUCUGCUUUCCAGAUCUGAAUGGAAUUCUUCUGCAUCAGGACAAUUGGUAACUUAUUCUUGGGAGAUGGAGAAAGUUGCAGUUCCUUUGAGAAGUCUAAGGACUUCAGCAGUUGUAGACAUUUUUUCCUAUUAAAAUGCCUGUCACCAGGUAUCAUAUCAUGCCCUUCUGAAACCUUUGCCAAAAUUUGAGACUCAGACUGUGUUGUACAGCGUUAGUGGUAGAUGCAUUCCAUGGAGUGGCAAUGUUGGGAUUUGGCACUCUGUUAAAAAUAGCAUUUUGAGAUAAAUUAUUUGUUGCACUGUAGGAAGACUUGUUCAGGAACAAGCAUAAUGGGUUAGUGCUAACAUCCAUCUUGCCCCCAGUACUUUGAUCCUGACAGUUCUGCAGAGGAACUGAUUUUGGAGCCAGUGCCAUAAUCUCCAUUCUCUGUUGGCAAGAAGCCUAUUCUUGUUCUUCUAAAGUUUUUACUCUGAAGUGUAAAGCUUGGUAUUUAAAAAAAAAGAGUAAAAUUAUUAUUCCUAUGGAUAUGUUAUGAAAACUUCUGUUCCACCUUUACAUAUUUAUAGACCUGUUUCGGUGACUUCCUACAGGUGAAUUUUACUGACACUGUAUGAUUAUAUUUUUGUCCUUAAAAAUAAAUUAUUUUCUCUUUUUCUUGACAGGAGGGACAGGUGUUCCUGCUCAUCCCUUCAGUAUCAUUGUUUCAUUUCUCUUCAAUUAAUCGAAAUAUCUGGUGAGCUGUACUGAUUGCAAAGAGAAGAGAGGUUCUCUGGUUGAUUAUGAUGACACACUGUGGGAAAAGCCUGAGUGUAGCUGACAAUCUUAUGUUACAUAGGUGACUCAAGACAGCAGAUCAUUUCAGAAAGUCAGCUUACAGAUAUCAUUUAACCACUUACAUUUUUGCAUACCCUCUUUAAAGGAAAUUUUGGUAAUAGCUGACAGUAUGUCUUUGAAUUAAAACAUUGACAUUCAGUAUUGUCAGUGAAGAUUUUCAGACUGUGUAUGAAGAUCUUGUAUACAUGGCUGAAAUGGUAGCAUCUCUUUACAAAUGAUUUGGGUUUAGGGCCAGUUGUUUCUCACAGAAGGGAAAAGAGAUACUGUAUUUGUUUUGGUAAGAUAGUGUGCUUUUACUUCAUCCUGUUUCACUUUUGCAUAGUUACCUAAACUACUUUUCAUAGGACUGUUCAGCAGAAAGCAGAGAUCACCUAAUUGAUACUUAAAGUUGUUGGACUUCUGUAAGAAAUGUAGUUUGGUUCUCCUGCAAGGUGUUUACAUUUUUGUGCAUUUGUUUGUUGUGGUUUGGGAGGGGUUUUGUUUGUUUUUUUAAAUGCAAAGCAAGUGCUUUGAUUCCCGGUGGUUGGGGAAACUGUGCUAAACUUAUGCUUUACUCUUUCUUGUCAGGUUGUCUGUCGCUGUGCUAACUUGAAGAGGUGACCAUUUGCUGUGAGUUAAUAAUGUUCAUGCUCUCUCCUAUGAAUCUCUCCUCCUUUUCCUUCUAUGAACCAACAACACAAAAGGAACACACUGUGCAAGAUUUUCUCCUUGCAGUUAAUAGUACCAAGCACUCAUUUUGUUGAGAAAAACACUCUUUAAAACAUACUACAAUAAAAAAAGUAAAUGCUCUGCUA